rnacentral:rRNA from 1 species
CCUACGGGUGGCAGCAGUGAGGAAUAUUGGUCAAUGGGCGGAAGCCUGAACCAGCCAAGUAGCGUGCAGGAUGACGGCCCUACGGGUUGUAAACUGCUGUUAUACGGGAAUAACGCGCCUUACGUGUAGGGCUUUGCAUGUACCGUAUGAAUAAGAACCGGCCAAUUCCGUGCAAGCAGCCGAGGUAAUACGGAAGGUACGGGCGUUAUCCGGAGUUAUUGGGUGUAAAGGGGGGGUAGGCCGGAUGUCAAGCGUGCUGUGAAAUGUCCGGGCUCAACCCGGGCCCUGCAGCGCGAACUGGCGUGCUUGAGUCCGCGGAAGGCAGGCGGAAUUCGUCGUGUAGCGGUGAAAUGCUUAGAUAUGACGAAGAACCCCGAUUGCGAAGGCAGCUUGCUGCAGCGGAACUGACGCUGAUGCUCGAAAGCGCGGGUAUCGAACAGGAUUAGAUACCCGAGUAGUC